AUAAGACAGAUUCUUUAAAAUGUGUAUUACUGGCAAGUAUCAUCCACAUCUGGGCACAGAAAGCAGAGAUACGCAGGUUCUAAAAUUCCUGUCCUAGCAGAUUACCAGAGGCGAAAUGCAUGCUGUCCCUUGCAGUAAAUGAUGGAGUCAGCACUCACAGUGCCAGCUUUCGCUGACACGAUCUCUGCCCUGUGGUGGGAGAGCAAGAACAUGACUUGAUCAAGUGCAUAGCGUUAGCAUCUGCCAGCUGAAGAUGCAAAUGAAUACCAUGUAAAUGGUCAUUAAUUUCGGCUUAGUGUAUAACAGAAGAGAUCUCUAAAAGGCACCAACUUAGUCAGGCCUGCUUUAGAAAACAACCAGUCUGGUCCAGCUGAGGCAGUGCAAGCAGUAGGGGCGCUAUAGAGUGAUGGUGGAGACCACGGAGGAGGCCUUGGGUUUGCUUCCUGGGUCUGCCCAAACACAUUGUUACACCUGUGAGUCUGGCUGGCUGCAGGGCUGGAGAGAGGAUUGUAGUGUGAGGACCCUGUAGAGUUUCUCUCUCUCUUAAUAAAUUUUAGAGAAAAAAAAAAGAAAGAAAAAGAAGUUUUUUGGCCGGUCAUGGUAGCACAAUGGCUACAGAUAUCAAUACUUCUCCAGGAUGCUAAGACCAUAUGAGAAGGGCUUGGAUUUGCAUCCUGAGGUCUUCCUGAGCACACCGGGCACAUCUCAGUGCCCACGAGGCUGAGGGUGGGAUCACGGCAUGAAGACCCUGUUGGGGGUACUUCUCUCUCUCUCUCUCUCUCAGGAAAUAGGUAAACUUAAAAUAAAAUGGCAUCAUUCUGAAUCCAGGAAUUAUGCAGGUAGAUACUAUGUCAUUUUAAAAAAUGUUUCUUUCUUCCAUGAGCAAGAGACAGAGAAACACAUAAAGACAUACAGAUGGCACCCCCAGAAAGGUCUUAAUUCUGCAAUCCAGCUCCAACCUUCAGCCAGCUUCAGAUCACAGGCACAUGUGACCCCGGCAUACUUAGGGAGGUCUCCAGGUUAGAAUCGGAACCUCCCAAUGGGAUUGCCUAGCAGAACAUCUCAUUUCAUGACUGUGCCACCAUCUGGCACCCUGUGUCAAAUUUUCAAGUAGGCUUUCUGAAAGUCUGAGGAAUGAGACAAAGUGAGGCAUUAGGUGAGCAAUGUUUCUUCCUGUGUGGAAAUGCAGGACGUCAAGAAAACAUGAGGUUUGCCUCAAUUCAGUUAUGGGUAACCUAUAGUCAUAUGGGUGACCUAUGGUCAUUUCCAAAUGAAAGGACGUUGGUGAAUAGGGAAUCCCUUUACGGGAGGGCCAGCAAGAUGGAUAUUUUUCCCCCACAUCUACUAACCAAGAAGUUUUAUAAACAGGAAAUGGAGUUAUUUGAGCUUCCUCAUUACUGGAAAUGUAGACUUGAUUGAAGAAAGAUGUCCAAUGAUUGUUAUUCCCUUUAGCUCUGGGAAGGAAAACUUAUUUCAGGUCUGCCUCCCAUGGCUUUUCAUUGUCCUGGAAGGAAUGUAGGGAAUAUGUAUCUGUGAAAGUAUUCAUUAUUUUAAGUUUUAUCUCACUUUCUUUGCCUUGACUAUUUCAAAACAACAGAGAAGCUGUAAAGAAAGCUGAGAACUCAGUGGGAGUUAGGGCUGAUCCAAUGAAGUUUUUUAGACCAAGUACUUUGUUCUAUUGCUUGACUUUCCUUUUUUUCGUGCUUAUAUUUUUGUCUACAACAGUCAUGUCAGUGCAUUCACUCUCUGGCCCACUUAGUGAUUAAUCCAAAAGUUCAUCAAGCAGGCAUUUGUAGAGCAUCUAUAGAUCCAGAGCUCCAAGAAACAUUGGAAGGACAUGGAAAGAAGCUUUCUGUGCUGAAGACCACUCACGAUCCUAGUAAACCAGACACAGGAUGUAACAAAAAUACCCUGUUCAUUGAUUUUUAAGUAAGUUAUACAAACUCACAGAAGUCAAAACUCAGAGUUGUGGACAGGACACAAUGAUAUUAUGCAGGACUUGAUGUUGUUGUUCUGAGGACAGGAGACUCACGGCUACAGAAUUUAGAAGGAAAGCCGUCCCAGAUCAUCAUCACAACCUUCACUCCCGUUAUCAGUUCCUCCAGAUUUUAUACCCAAAGAACUACAAUACUCUUGAAGAAGUUUCUGGAGUCAGAAUGAGCUCUUUUCAUGCAAAGUAGCAGACACUUAUUGUGUGUGGGGUUCACCUGUAAAUGAGCAUCUGAGGUCCAUUUCACGGACAAAUGUCUCUCCAUGAAGUCUUCCUCACGCUGUCUUCUGAGAUGGAGCCUAAUGCUGAACUAAUGAAGGUUAACAAUAACCUUGCUGAGUUUUUAUAGACAUCCAGCAAUGGAGAUGGGGAGGAGAAAGACUCCACCAACCUCCUCCAGUAUGACCUGCUGAGAAGACUUUAUCAGAUUUCUGAAAUUCGACCUUGUAGGGAUCCAUCUCAAUUUUUUCCUUUCAUCCUAAGGAAAUUGAAAAGGAUCAAAAUUAUAUGUCAUAUUUCUUUUGAGUGGCACAGAUGAAAGGCACUCAGUGACUUCUCUGUCCGCGCACAAGCGUUCCUCUCAGGGGAACGUGUUCUCUGUGAGAUCCCUGCCGACCUUUGCAGCCGGUAGGGGCCCAGGCUCAGGUGCAUCAUGGAAAAUGAAGGCUGCACGUGGGCCGCAUUCAAACAGUGUGCUGUGGCCUCCUGCCCGUGUGGAGGUUUGGAGAAGGUCAGAACACAUCUGGUUCUAGUCUAUCCUCACAGUUUGAGCAGGAAAAAACAGGUUCUGAGGAUGCCGGUUUUCAACCAGUGAGAAGGGAGCCAUGAGGCUGACUUUUACAAGGAAAUUAAGUUCAGAGUAUUUUAGUAUUUUUUUCCCUUUCUAUGAAUGUGAACUGAUCUUUGACAUUCAUCAUUUCAAGCUGCAAACAUAAAACCUCAAAUUGGUAGAGGGUGCUUGACCCGUCAUCAGUCUCGCAGGGGCACGCUAUGAAAUGGCAGUACGGUACCGCUGGCCCUCCAUAUCUGGGGGCUCCGUGUCCUCAGAUUCAACCAACCUGAGACUGAGCCUGCAGUGUAAGACUCAGGUUUUGACUCUGUGGGCAUCACAGAUCCAAUACUCCUUGCGCACUGACGGGUAUUUGCUCUUAUUAGGAAAUAUGUAGCCUCUUAACUUUAGGUUCAAAAGUUUGCCCAGACCCCAAGUCCUGAAUAACAAGCAAGCCAAAAAACAAACAAAAAAAACUAGCUGACAUUGCUGUCUCUGAAGCUGCAAUCUCAUCUUACACUUGUAAUUUCUUCUUGUCCCUUUUCAUCUAUCUCGGAUUUAUAUCCAACGUCCCAUUUGACUGUCUUCACUCUACCCUCAACUAUGUUCUGAUUUUCACACUAAUCAUCCCAUCAAACUCAAUUUCUCCACCCAGGGGGGCUGAUGCUUAAAUUCUAUGUCUUUGACAUCAGAGAAAGGAUUGACCUUGACAUCCAUCUGCUUCUUUUUCAUCUUUUUAAAAGUUUCUUUCUUUUUUUUUUAAUGAGAGUGAGAGACUGACUAGCAUUCCCAACAGGGUCUCACACUGUGGCCCACCUCCACGCCUUUUCAGUUAGCCAGGAUCAUGGAGGUAUGCGUCCAGAGUGUGUAUGGACCAGCUGGGAAACCGAUGACCUUGCAUAUAGAUCCAGCCUAGCUUUAAUAGCACGUUAUGGCUGUGCCACCGAGCUAGCUUCCAAUAUGCUUCUUUUUCAUUUGUUUUCGUUUUUGCUAUAGAGCACACACACUCACCAGAGAGAGACAGA